CUACCCUUGACAUGUCAAGAAUCUUGCAGAGAUGUGAGAGUGCUCGAAAGAGAACUUGAACACAGGUGCUGCAUGGCCGUCGUCAGCUCGUGUCGUGAGAUGUUGGGUUAAGUCCCGCAACGAGCGCAACCCUUGUCAUCAGUUGCUACGAAAGGGCACUCUGAUGAGACUGCCGGUGACAAACCGGAGGAAGGUGGGGAUGACGUCAGGUCCUCAUGGCCCUUAUGGGUAGGGCUACACACGUCAUACAAUGGCCGGUACAGAGGGCUGCCAACCCGCGAGGGGGAGCCAAUCCCAGAAAACCGGUCGUAGUCCGGAUCGCAGUCUGCAACUCGACUGCGUGAAGUCGGAAUCGCUAGUAAUCGCGGAUCAGCUUGCCGCGGUGAAUA
rnacentral:rRNA from 1 species